UGGGGAAUAUUGGACAAUGGGGGGAACCCUGAUCCAGCCAUGCCGCGUGUGUGAAGAAGGCCUUAUGGUUGUAAAGCACUUUAAGCGAGGAGGAGGGUACUGGUAUUAAUACUACCAGGUACUGGACGUUACUCGCAGAAUAAGCACCGGCUAACUCUGUGCCAGCAGCCGCGGUAAUACAGAGGGUGCGAGCGUUAAUCGGAUUUACUGGGCGUAAAGCGUGCGUAGGCGGCUAAUUGAGUCGGAUGUGAAAUCCCCGAGCUUAACUUGGGAAUUGCAUUCGAUACUGGUUAGCUAGAGUGUGGGAGAGGAUGGUAGAAUUCCAGGUGUAGCGGUGAAAUGCGUAGAGAUCUGGAGGAAUACCGAUGGCGAAGGCAGCCAUCUGGCCUAACACUGACGCUGAGGUACGAAAGCAUGGGGGGCAAACAGG
rnacentral:rRNA from 1 species